CCGGUAUUUACAUUUCUAACAAAAGUUGCCAAUUUUUUGACUCAAGUAUAGAUAUAAGGUAAUUAGGAAAAGUAGAAACGAGAUCAUUUUGUACUCCGUUUACAUGCAUGGCUCGAAAAUCUUCAUGAUUCUUUAUCGGUUAAAUACAAUCUCUUUGAAACAGUAAUUGCAGGUAAAUAUUUCACAAUUAGAAUACCUUACCAUGGAAAACCCUUUCAUCAGUAGAUUCCUUCGACGCUCAAAACUUUCAUCGAACAUCUGUUUUACAACAUUCGCUAUUAGCUGCCCAUAUAUUAGCUAUCCCGAAUAGAAAAAAAUCAAAACAAAAAUAUAUAUACCUCUGACUGUGAGCAUUUUGGAGAAGAAAAUUGAACACCUUCAUCUGGCUUACUGUCGAAGCCGACUACAGUCGAAUGAAGAAAAAUAGAAAAGGACGUUUGUACAUCGCUUCUCAAGCGUUCGCAUAUAUUGCUAUACGAGCUUGCCGGCGACCCUCUCAAAACAAGUUGUACAUAAUCAUUUAAGGUACAUAGGUAUACAUAUUGAUUCUCUAGAAAGCGAAGAAUCCUGCUUUUGGGGGUAUGGUGUUCGGUCAUGCAAGUUACAAGUAACCAUUAAGCAUAACUAUAUAUAUGCAAAGUGUCCUACUGAUCAUAACGUUUUAAAUAAA